CUCCCCUUCCCCACCCCCUGUCUUGGCUAGAGACAAUCCAUGCACUCGGUGGCUAAAGCGACAGUCCACCUUCAUUUUCUAAAGGCUGCGGCCCUUCACUGAGCAGGCCUCCCAGCCCCGGCGCUCUGCUGCCCCUCAUGGUGGCCACCACCUUGCCUCGUUCCAGAAUCGCGCCGAAACGGCAGCUACCCGCAGCGACCCUUCCGUACACUACAUUUCCCAUCACCCUUUUCUUGAUAUCGCGAGAGUUCCGGCGAGACCGCAGGAAAGACUUGCGCGCUGGCGUGACUCGGUCCUCUCUCCGAGGCCGGCCGCGUGGCUGGGAGCCAUGGUGGGUUCUAUCCCGGCCCAGCGCGGCGAGCAGCUUCAGGCCUUUGGCAGGCCGGCCUUUGGCGGGUAUGGAGACAGAAGCAGACCCGCAGGCUGAAGCUUCGAAGUUAAAGAUGUCGGCUGUGAGCUUGGAAAAAAGUCACAUGAACACUGUCACCCUCAGAUGCUGUGUGUAAGGGUCCUCGUGAUGAGACUUCUGUCAAUGGGACGGUCACAGCCUUGAUUUCUGAGGCCGAAACGGCCCCUGCACCCGCGCCAACCAGCAGUGACCAGCACCGCGUCAGCCGCCCUGCACCGGCGGUGGGUUUCUCUCAUAUGUCUGCGGUGAGGCACAGAGCUGAGCUGCUUUGCCUGAAGCAAGAGAAACCGUCCCUGUCCCAUCCUUUGUAAGUUUUCCGCUUCUAGCUUGCGUGUCCCUAAGAAGCCCCACCGGGCUGUGCUCUUAAAAGCAGCUCGGGCCUCACUCGGGGUCCAGUUGAAUGGACCCCAGAGGGAACUGUGGACACCCCGCUGAGACCCCAGGCUGGCGCGCCCCUCUGCUGCUCGAAAACCAACAGUGAGGCUGCCCUGUCCCACCUUCGGCGCCUUGAUUAAUGUCUCUGAGGGUGCGGGCUGUAAGAAGCGGCAGAAAUGGGCACGUGGCCCGGAUUUGGCUCAGGCUCCUAACUGUGGAAUGGAGGCGUGCACGCCACGCAUUUCAGAAGAGGAGCGCGCCCUUGGAAACAGCUGGGAGUGCAGGCUGGGCGCCGGCCGGCCGGGCGCAGUGAGAGUACUCGGGGCUUCUGGGUGGUUGCCUUGCGUGCGCUGACCUUCAGGAAGAGGGGCGGCCUCUGGGUCCAGCAGAGCCGUUCGG